rnacentral:lncRNA from 1 species
UUUACGUUGAUUAAAAUAAUAGACCAUUAUCUGGCCAACAAUUCUUCCACGGUGGCCUCAUUCCACCUAUAUAAAUGCCGAGGCAGUCUUGUGUGCUCCAUGUAGCACCGUGCUCAAUGACAUUAACACUUGCAUUAAAUGACACUAACACUAUUUUGUUUUACAAAUGAUACUAUCAUGUUAUGUAAAUAACACUGUUUGAAAUGACACUAACACUAUGAAUAACACUGCUUGAAAUGACACUAACACUAUUUUGUUUUACAAAUGACACUAUCAUGUUAUAUAAAUAACACUAUCAUAAAUAACACUAUCAUGUUAGUGUCAUUUAAUGCAAGUGUUAGUGUCAUGGAGCACGGUGCUCCAUGGAGCACAUGAAUUUGCAAUAAAUGCCUCCACCUAAUAUUAAACCAUUUUAUGGCCAACAAUUAUUCCACGUUGCCUCAUUUCAUCUAUAAAAUCUGCUCGCACAAAGUCGUCUCUUCACUCUGCUCAAUCCAUUUUCCCCAAGCUUGAGCUUCUUCUCAGUUAUACUCCAUUUCAGAGCAAGUAUUGCAGCUGGUAAAGAAAUUCCUUCUAUCUCCAUUCUUACUUUUACACACAAGAGCUUCUAAGUGCAGUCUGUUUUCCUUUCUGCAGAACAAUAGCAUAACACCAAGGCCAGCCUUUAUUUCAAAUCAUCAUCCACCGGUAAAAACAAAACUUUCAUUAUCAGAUUCAAAACAAACCAAUAUUUAUACUGAUUGCACUUCUAUAAGUACCAUAGAAAACUCUCACUUAUAAUCAACAGCCAGAUUUAUAUAUUGUAAAAUCUAAGGUAAAUUAGAUAGUGUAUUAAUAAUAAGCAAAGAAGAAGAAAUCCUGCCACAGCAAACCAACACAUCACAUACAUAUGUUUACCUUUGGACUAAAGAACUCAAGACAUCAGAGAUAUGGGGGAGACCGCCGAUCUUCGUCGGAGGGGAGAUUUUCUGGGUUCCCUUUUGGGAGACGAAGAAUA